AGGUGUGAACACUUUUAUUGUGAGAAGGAAUCAACUCCAGGCUUAAACAGAACAUCCAAGGUCUCCUCCCAUGGCAGUAGUGAGCCUUGGAAUGCACAAAAGGGAAGAUGUUUUAAUGAGUGAGGUUCCUGCUAAUGUGACGACAGGAGCAGCUGCUGAUACAAGGCGAGAGGAGAGGAAAACAACACUGGGCAGACUGUGAAGCAGGCAAAUAGAACUGA